UUUUUUUUUUUUUUUUUUCUUCUCUCUCAGAUUGAACGCUGGCGGCAGGCCUAACACAUGCAAGUCGAGCGGUAGCACAGAGAGCUUGCUCUCGGGUGACGAGCGGCGGACGGGUGAGUAAUGUCUGGGAAACUGCCUGAUGGAGGGGGAUAACUACUGGAAACGGUAGCUAAUACCGCAUAACGUCGCAAGACCAAAGUGGGGGACCUUCGGGCCUCAUGCCAUCAGAUGUGCCCAGAUGGGAUUAGCUGGUAGGUGGGGUAACGGCUCACCUAGGCGACGAUCCCUAGCUGGUCUGAGAGGAUGACCAGCCACACUGGAACUGAGACACGGUCCAGACUCCUACGGGAGGCAGCAGUGGGGAAUAUUGCACAAUGGGCGCAAGCCUGAUGCAGCCAUGCCGCGUGUGUGAAGAAGGCCUUCGGGUUGUAAAGCACUUUCAGCGGGGAGGAAGGCGGUGAGGUUAAUAACCUCACCGAUUGACGUUACCCGCAGAAGAAGCACCGGCUAACUCCGUGCCAGCAGCCGCGGUAAUACGGAGGGUGCAAGCGUUAAUCGGAAUUACUGGGCGUAAAGCGCACGCAGGCGGUCUGUCAAGUCGGAUGUGAAAUCCCCGGGCUCAACCUGGGAACUGCAUUCGAAACUGGCAGGCUAGAGUCUUGUAGAGGGGGGUAGAAUUCCAGGUGUAGCGGUGAAAUGCGUAGAGAUCUGGAGGAAUACCGGUGGCGAAGGCGGCCCCCUGGACAAAGACUGACGCUCAGGUGCGAAAGCGUGGGGAGCAAACAGGAUUAGAUACCCUGGUAGUCCACGCUGUAAACGAUGUCGAUUUGGAGGUUGUGCCCUUGAGGCGUGGCUUCCGGAGCUAACGCGUUAAAUCGACCGCCUGGGGAGUACGGCCGCAAGGUUAAAACUCAAAUGAAUUGACGGGGGCCCGCACAAGCGGUGGAGCAUGUGGUUUAAUUCGAUGCAACGCGAAGAACCUUACCUGGUCUUGACAUCCACAGAACUUUCCAGAGAUGGAUUGGUGCCUUCGGGAACUGUGAGACAGGUGCUGCAUGGCUGUCGUCAGCUCGUGUUGUGAAAUGUUGGGUUAAGUCCCGCAACGAGCGCAACCCUUAUCCUUUGUUGCCAGCGGUUAGGCCGGGAACUCAAAGGAGACUGCCAGUGAUAAACUGGAGGAAGGUGGGGAUGACGUCAAGUCAUCAUGGCCCUUACGACCAGGGCUACACACGUGCUACAAUGGCAUAUACAAAGAGAAGCGACCUCGCGAGAGCAAGCGGACCUCAUAAAGUAUGUCGUAGUCCGGAUUGGAGUCUGCAACUCGACUCCAUGAAGUCGGAAUCGCUAGUAAUCGUAGAUCAGAAUGCUACGGUGAAUACGUUCCCGGGCCUUGUACACACCGCCCGUCACACCAUGGGAGUGGGUUGCAAAAGAAGUAGGUAGCUUAACCUUCGGGAGGGCGCUUACCACUUUGUGAUUCAUGACUGGGGUGAAGUCGUACAAAAGGGGAACCCAA
rnacentral:rRNA from 1 species